CCUACGGGUGGCAGCAGUGAGGAAUAUUGGUCAAUGGACGAGAGUCUGAACCAGCCAAGUAGCGUGAAGGAUAACUGCCCUAUGGGUUGUAAACUUCUUUUAUAUGGGAAUAAAACGUUCCACGUGUGGGAUUUUGUAUGUACCAUAUGAAUAAGGAUCGGCUAACUCCGUGCCAGCAGCCGCGGUAAUUCGGAGGAUCCGAGCGUUAUCCGGAUUUAUUGGGUUUAAAGGGAGCGUAGGUGGAUUGUUAAGUCAGUUGUGAAAGUUUGCGGCUCAACCGUAAAAUUGCAGUUGAAACUGGCAGUCUUGAGUACAGUAGAGGUGGGCGGAAUUCGUGGUGUAGCGGUGAAAUGCUUAGAUAUCACGAAGAACUCCGAUUGCGAAGACAGUUCACUGGACUGCAACUGACACUGAGGCUCGAAAGUGUGGGUAUCAAACAGGAUUAGAUACCCGAGUAGUC
rnacentral:rRNA from 1 species